rnacentral:rRNA from 1 species
ACUUAAAUUGAAGAGUUUGAUCAUGGCUCAGAUUGAACGCUGGCGGCAGGCCUAACACAUGCAAGUCGAGCGGUAGCACAGAGAGCUUGCUCUCGGGUGACGAGCGGCGGACGGGUGAGUAAUGUCUGGGAAACUGCCUGAUGGAGGGGGAUAACUACUGGAAACGGUAGCUAAUACCGCAUAACGUCGCAAGACCAAAGUGGGGGACCUUCGGGCCUCAUGCCAUCAGAUGUGCCCAGAUGGGAUUAGCUUGUAGGUGGGGUAACGGCUCACCUAGGCGACGAUCCCUAGCUGGUCUGAGAGGAUGACCAGCCACACUGGAACUGAGACACGGUCCAGACUCCUACGGGAGGCAGCAGUGGGGAAUAUUGCACAAUGGGCGCAAGCCUGAUGCAGCCAUGCCGCGUGUGUGAAGAAGGCCUUCGGGUUGUAAAGCACUUUCAGCGGGGAGGAAGGCGGUGAGGUUAAUAACCUCAUCGAUUGACGUUACCCGCAGAAGAAGCACCGGCUAACUCCGUGCCAGCAGCCGCGGUAAUACGGAGGGUGCAAGCGUUAAUCGGAAUUACUGGGCGUAAAGCGCACGCAGGCGGUCUGUCAAGUCGGAUGUGAAAUCCCCGGGCUCAACCUGGGAACUGCAUUCGAAACUGGCAGGCUAGAGUCUUGUAGAGGGGGGUAGAAUUCCAGGUGUAGCGGUGAAAUGCGUAGAGAUCUGGAGGAAUACCGGUGGCGAAGGCGGCCCCCUGGACAAAGACUGACGCUCAGGUGCGAAAGCGUGGGGAGCAAACAGGAUUAGAUACCCUGGUAGUCCACGCCGUAAACGAUGUCGAUUUGGAGGUUGUGCCCUUGAGGCGUGGCUUCCGGAGCUAACGCGUUAAAUCGACCGCCUGGGGAGUACGGCCGCAAGGUUAAAACUCAAAUGAAUUGACGGGGGCCCGCACAAGCGGUGGAGCAUGUGGUUUAAUUCGAUGCAACGCGAAGAACCUUACCUGGUCUUGACAUCCACAGAACUUUCCAGAGAUGGAUUGGUGCCUUCGGGAACUGUGAGACAGGUGCUGCAUGGCUGUCGUCAGCUCGUGUUGUGAAAUGUUGGGUUAAGUCCCGCAACGAGCGCAACCCUUAUCCUUUGUUGCCAGCGGUCCGGCCGGGAACUCAAAGGAGACUGCCAGUGAUAAACUGGAGGAAGGUGGGGAUGACGUCAAGUCAUCAUGGCCCUUACGACCAGGGCUACACACGUGCUACAAUGGCAUAUACAAAGAGAAGCGACCUCGCGAGAGCAAGCGGACCUCAUAAAGUAUGUCGUAGUCCGGAUUGGAGUCUGCAACUCGACUCCAUGAAGUCGGAAUCGCUAGUAAUCGUAGAUCAGAAUGCUACGGUGAAUACGUUCCCGGGCCUUGUACACACCGCCCGUCACACCAUGGGAGUGGGUUGCAAAAGAAGUAGGUAGCUUAACCUUCGGGAGGGCGCUUACCACUUUGUGAUUCAUGACUGGGGUGAAGUCGUAACAAGGUAACCGUAGGGGAACCUGCGGUUGGAUCACCUCCUUACCUUAAAGAA